AUUGAACGCUGGCGGCAGGCCUAACACAUGCAAGUCGAGCGAAGCGGCGGACGGGUGAGUAAUGCCUAGGAAUCUGCCUGGUAGUGGGGGAUAACGUCCGGAAACGGGCGGUAAUACCGCAUACUAUUAGAUUAGCCUAGGUAGGAUUAGCUAGUUGGUGGGGUAAAGGCUUACCUAGGCGACGCUCCGUAACUGGUCUGAGAGGAUGAUCCGUCACACUGGAACUGAGACACGGUCCAGACUCCUACGGGAGGCAGCAGUUGGGAAUAUUGGACAAUGGACGAAAGCCUGAUCCAGCCAUGCCGCGUGUGUGAAGAAGGUCUUCGGAUUGUAAAGCACUUUAAGUUGGGAGGCGUUACCAACAGAAUAAGCACCGGCUAACUUCGUGCCAGCAGCCGCGGUAAUUC
rnacentral:rRNA from 1 species